rnacentral:rRNA from 1 species
CUACGGGCUGCAGCAGUGGGGAAUAUUGCACAAUGGACGAAAGUCUGAUGCAGCAACGCCGCGUGGAGGAUGACACAUUUCGGUGCGUAAACUCCUUUUAUAUAAGAAGAUAAUGACGGUAUUAUAUGAAUAAGCACCGGCUAACUCCGUGCCAGCAGCCGCGGUAAUACGGGGGGUGCAAGCGUUACUCGGAAUCACUGGGCGUAAAGCGCAUGUAGGCGGACUUGUAAGUUGGAAGUGAAAUCCUAUGGCUCAACCAUAGAACUGCUUCCAAAACUGCUUGUCUAGAAUAUGGGAGAGGUAGAUGGAAUUUCUGGUGUAGGGGUAAAAUCCGUAGAGAUCAGAAGGAAUACCGAUUGCGAAGGCGAUCUACUGGAACAUUAUUGACGCUCAGAUGCGAAAGCGUGGGGAGCAAACAGGAUUAGAUACCCGUGUAGUC